GAUGAACGCUGGCGGCGUGCCUAAUACAUGCAAGUCGAGCGAACAGACGAGGAGCUUGCUCCUCUGACGUUAGCGGCGGACGGGUGAGUAACACGUGGAUAACCUACCUAUCAGACUGGGAUAACUUCGGGAAACCGGAGCUAAUACCGGAUAAUAUAUUGAACCGCAUGGUUCAAUAGUGAAAGACGGUUUUGCUGUCACUUCUAGAUGGAUCCGCGCCGCAUUAGCUAGUUGGUAAGGUAACGGCUUACCAAGGCAACGAUGCGUAUCCGACCUGAGAGGGUGAUCGGCCACACGGGAACUGGGACACGGUCCAGACUCCUACGGGAGGCAGCAGUAGGGAAUCUUCCGCAAUGGGCGAAGGCCUGACGGAGCAACGCCGCGUGAGUGAUGAAGGUCUUCGGAUCGUAAAACUCUGUUAUUAGUGAAGAACAAAUGUGUAAGUAACUAUGCACGUCUUGACGGUACCUAGUCAGAAAGCCACGGCUAACUACGUG
rnacentral:rRNA from 1 species